rnacentral:rRNA from 1 species
AUUGAACUGAAGAGUUUGAUCCUGGCUCAGAUUGAACGCUGGCGGCAUGCCUUACACAUGCAAGUCGAACGGCAGCACGGGCUUCGGCCUGGUGGCGAGUGGCGAACGGGUGAGUAAUACAUCGGAACAUGUCCUGUAGUGGGGGAUAGCCC